UUUGGAAGGAGAAGUCGUAACAAGGUUUCCG
rnacentral:rRNA from 1 species